rnacentral:rRNA from 1 species
UACGGGGGGGGCAAGCGUUGUUCGGAAUUACUGGGCGUAAAGGGCUCGUAGGUGGCCAACUAAGUCAGACGUGAAAUCCCCGGGCUCAACCUGGGAACUGCAUCUGUGACUGCAUCGCUGGAGUGCGGCAGAGGGGGAUGGAAUUCCGCGUGUAGCAGUGAAAUGCGUAGAUAUGCGGAGGAACACCGAUGGCGAAGGCAAUCCCCUGGGCCUGCACUGACGCUCAUGCACGAAAGCGUGGGGAGCAAACAGG